rnacentral:rRNA from 1 species
UACCAGCACCCCGAGUGGUCGGGAAGUUUAUUGGGCCUAAAGCAUCCGUAGCCGGUUCUACAAGUCUUCCGUUAAAUCCAACUGCUUAACAGGUGGGCUGCGGAAGAUACUAUAGAGCUAGGAGGCGGGAGAGGCAAGCGGUACUCGAUGGGUAGGGGUAAAAUCCGUUGAUCCAUUGAAGACCACCAGUGGCGAAGGCGGUUGCCUGGGGUUUUGCUGACGCUGAUGCGCGAAAGCGUGGGGAGCGAUCCGG